GAGGUCUUGUAUUCAUUAAAUAAUGAUAUUAAAUUGCAAAUUUAAAGGAGUAAAUUUUACUAAGACUU
rnacentral:tRNA from 1 species